UGAGGAACAUGACCUUCGGCGGGGGAUAGCCGGCCCAACGGCCGGGUAAUACCGCGUACGACCACAUGGGGACAUCCCCGAGUGGUGAAAGCAGCAAUGCGCCGAUGGAGUGCCUCGCGGCCUAUCAGCUAGUUGGUGAGGUAACGGCUCACCAAGGCAACGGACGGGUAGCUGGUCUGAGAGGAUGGCCAGCCACAGUUGGGACUGAGACACGGCCCAGACCUCCGUAGGGAGG
rnacentral:rRNA from 1 species